AACAGGAUUAGAUACCCUGGUAGUCCAUGCCGUAACGUUGGGCACUAGGUGUGGGGGACAUUCCACGUUCUCCGCGCCGUAGCUAACGCAUUAAGUGCCCCGCCUGGGGAGUACGGCCGCAAGGCUAAAACUCAAAGGAAUUGACGGGGGCCCGCACAAGCGGCGGAGCAUGCGGAUUAAUUCGAUGCAACGCGAAGAACCUUACCAAGGCUUGACAUUCACCGGACCGCCUCAGAGAUGGGGUUUCCCUUCGGGGUCGGUGGACAGGUGGUGCAUGGUUGUCGUCAGCUCGUGUCGUGAGAUGUUGGGUUAAGUCCCGCAACGAGCGCAACCCUCGUUCUAUGUUGCCAGCACGUGAUGGUGGGGACUCAUAGGAGACUGCCGGGGUCAACUCGGAGGAAGGUGGGGAUGACGUCAAAUCAUCAUGCCCCUUAUGUCUUGGGCUUCACGCAUGCUACAAUGGCCGGUACAAAGGGUUGCGAUACUGUGAGGUGGAGCUAAUCCCAAAAAGCCGGUCUCAGUUCGGAUUGAGGUCUGCAACUCGACCUCAUGAAGUCGGAGUCGCUAGUAAUCGCAGAUCAGCAACGCUGCGGUGAAUACGUUCCCGGGCCUUGUACACACCGCCCGUCAAGUCACGAAGGUUGGUAACACCCGAAGCCGGUGGCCUAACCCCUUGUGGGAGGGAGCCGUCGAAGGUGGGACCGGCGAUUGGGACUAAGUCGUAACAAGGUAGC
rnacentral:rRNA from 1 species